rnacentral:rRNA from 1 species
CGCGUAGGUGGCCUGUUAAGUCGAACGUGAAAUCCCCGGGCUCAACCCGGGAACUGCGUCCGAGACUGGCAGGCUCGAAUCCGGGAGAGGGAUGUGGAAUUCCUAGUGUAGCGGUGAAAUGCGUAGAUAUUAGGAGGAACACCAGUGGCGAAGGCGGCUUACUGGACGGUAACUGACGUUGAGGCUCGAAAGCGUGGGGAGCAAACA